CAGCAGCCACGGUAAUACAGAGGGUGCGAGCGUUAAUCGGAUUUACUGGGCGUAAAGCGUGCGUAGGUGGUGGUUUAAGUCCGUUGUGAAAGCCCUGGGCUCAACCUGGGAAUUGCAGUGGAUACUGGGUCACUAGAGUGUGGUAGAGGAUAGUGGAAUUUCCGGUGUAGCAGUGAAAUGCGUAGAUAUAGGAAGGAACACCAGUGGCGAAGGCGACCACCUGGACUAAUACUGACACUGAGGUGCGAAAGCGUGGGGAGCAAACAGGAUUAGAUACCCGAGUAGUCCCUGUCUCUUAUAC
rnacentral:rRNA from 1 species